CAGUCGUACCGGCGGUAAUCAACCAUCUGGGUGCGAUCAUGUUGGGUGCUGAGGAGCCUAACCGCCUUCUCGCUCGCGUGUUUGUGCUCGUUGGUGUACUUAUUCGCAUGGUAGGUUAACAUCAAUUUCGGUCGUCAUAAAUGACGGGAGGAAUGUAGCUUUGAUCUCGUAUUAAGUGUUAUAGCCUCUGGUAGAUGUGAUGUCGGGGAUUGAGGAUGCACCGACCCUCUGGCCCACUCGUCUGGCCUCUGGGGGGUUGCUCUGGUUCCCAAAAGCUUGCUUAACGGUUGCCUGAAUUUGGUUUGCCCAAAAGGUUAAAAAGGGGAUGAU
rnacentral:rRNA from 1 species